rnacentral:rRNA from 1 species
UACGUAGGGGGCAAGCGUUGUCCGGAUUCAUUGGGCGUAAAGAGCGUGUAGGCGGCCAGGUAGGUCGGUUGUGAAAACUGGAGGCUCAACCUUCAGACGUCGACCGAAACCAUCUGGCUAGAGUCCGGGAGAGGAGAGUGGAAUUCCUGGUGUAGCGGUGAAAUGCGCAGAUAUCAGGAAGAACACCCGUGGCGAAAGCGGCUCUCUGGAACGGUACUGACGCUGAGGAGCGAAAGCCAGGGGAGCAAACGGG